rnacentral:rRNA from 1 species
AAUGGGCGAAAGCCUGAUGCAGCAACGCCGCGUGAGCGAUGAAGGCCUUUGGGUCGUAAAGCUCUGUCCUUGGGGAAGAAAAAAUGACGGUACCCUUGGAGGAAGCCCCGGCUAACUACGUGCCAGCAGCCGCGGUAAUACGUAGGGGGCAAGCGUUAUCCGGAAUUAUUGGGCGUAAAGAGUGCGUAGGUGGUCCUGUAAGCGCGGGGUGAAAGGCAAUAGCUCAACUAUUGUAAGCCUUGCGAACUGUGGGACUUGAGUGCAGGAGAGGAAAGCGGAAUUCCUAGUGUAGCGGCGAAAUGCGUAGAUAUUAGGAGGAACACCGGUGGCGAAGGCGGCUGCCUGGACCGAUAUUGACGCUGAGACGCGAAAGCGUGGGGAGCAAA